UGAGUGAAUUUGGGUUUAAUACAGCUGUUUAGAAGAUGUAUUAACCAAACCGCUGUUUUUCUGGACGCCAAGGGAUAUCAGGACAAGUUCAGCUCACAUCCUCCCUUUGCUGUUUCUAACUAAAGAUCGGAGACAUCAUGGCUCUCCAGAUCCCAGUGAUGGUGACACACGGCUGGGGAGAGCAAGGACA